GUCUUUUCUUCCUGGAGUCCUGGUAAUGAAAGUUUUGCCAUUGUGACCAUCAGCGUGGGCCCAACUCAGGCAGACAGAUAGCGCUGAUAUUAGAGGUGCAGUCAUUCCCUUUACUACUCCUUGGCCCUCAGGACAGACAUUCCAGCUGGUUCUGCAACGUUGUGGAGAAUUCUGAAGAUGGAUAUGACAAACAAGUCAUCUGGAGCUCUCGCUGGAAUCAGUAAGAAAAUGCUUAUUAUAAUCAACUCAGAGGUCAGGAAGGAAAAAGUGAGCCAAAGAAUUAUGGCUGCGGAUCUUGGAGGGGUGUAUGUUUUGCAGAUCUGUGUUGUAAAUGUUGCUGUUUUAAAUGCAAAGUCAUCGGGAUCAUCAUAUGCAGAGAAGGAACUCAUUAAUUCCCUCGGAAUCAGAAAAAGGUGUUUCCCAAUUAUCCUGCCAUGGGAGAACAUUGCUGGUGGAUGGAAGCUGACGUCCACAGCACAGCACACACAGGGGCGGCCGGGAAAGGUGGGACUGUCUUCCUUCCUUCCAGGGAGCUCGGGAGCUGCCCUGGGGGCAGGGGUUUAUGCAGGAUGA
rnacentral:lncRNA from 1 species